rnacentral:lncRNA from 1 species
UCCAGUACUUCAACUACACGAGCCAUAAAAGUUCAUUGCAAGAUUAAUAAAGUUUUCGUAGACAUCUUCUAGCUACACUGUACUUUUGAUAGUGCAAAUAUAGAUAUACUUCAAAGUUGUGAAUCUAAAUGUGAAAUAAAGUUAAAUGUUUUAAUUAUUUUUAUCACAGUAUCAUUGGUGGUAGGCUUGCAUCCUAAAACUCCUCUCCCAU